UGUUAAAAUUUUCUUCCAUUUGUACUGUUAAAAACUUGUGUGGCUGAUGGAAUAAUCAAAUAGUAAUACGUGACAUGCCACGUGUACAUCAUGCUGACAUACAUGGAUUGUUUUUAAUAAUAGACAUGGAUGACAAUUUUAACG
rfam:Gossypium arboreum cultivar AKA8401 contig_56090_1, whole genome shotgun sequence.